rnacentral:rRNA from 1 species
CACGUAGGGGGCAAGCGUUGUCCGGAUUUAUUGGGCGUAAGGAGCUCGUAGGCGGCUUAGUAAGUCGGGUGUGAAACCUCCAGGCUCAACCUGGAGACGCCACCCGAUACUGCUAUAGCUAGAGUCCGGUAGGGGAGCGUGGAAUUCCUGGUGUAGCGGUGAAAUGCGCAGAUAUCAGGAGGAACACCAGCGGCGAAGGCAGCACUCUGGGACGUGACUGACGCUGAGACGCGAAAGCGUGGGGAGCAAACAGG